UUUUGUACGUAUUGUUUUUUACUGUUUGUUUUGUACGUACUGUAAUCCUUGUUGUUUACUGCAAUAAAAAAAAAAAAAUUUAAAAAAAACAAUAAUAAUGCUAAUAAUAAAAGCCGCCUCCAUUUUAAAGUCUGUAUCAUCAGACAGACGUCACGUUACGUCACGUUACGUCACGCAGGCGUUAGUUCAGGUGAAGUCAGACGAUGGACGGUUAUUAUUUACCUGAACUUAAUGCGAUAGGACAGAGAGUAAACACGGGAUUCAAGCUUUGAAAGUCAAGGUGUGAUGGGGUCAUGGAUGCUGGUUUGGAUUCUGUGUACCACAGUCACUCUGAUGCCUGUGUGUCUUCAUGGAGCAAUAUCGGUCCGUUUUAAAACCGGACGGCUUCUGAAUGUUGCACUCGGCCAAACUCUUGUUUUGGAAGCCAUAUUUGAGAAGGAUCCAGAUGACAAGAUAGACAUGGUGACGUGGGACCGCAAGAGAGCAGGGGACAAUGUCAGACUGUCACAUGGAAACAGAAUAGCUUUGGAGAAGGAAGAUGCACUUCUGCGGGUCACUGAUGUUGCAGAAGGGGACUUUGCGAUCUACAAGGUCACCGUUACAGACAGUAACGGAUACCAGCAGCACGACUCAAUAGAAGUGCGAAAAAUAGUGGAACCUCUAAAGGCGUCAAUUGCGCGUGUGCUGGAAUGUGUUGUGGAUAAUCAUGGCAUGACGCAGUGGGACAGUCCUCAGUUUUCAUGGCUGGUUGAUGGCGUUACAGUAACCAAUCAAACCGCCCUGUUAGCAGACGGCAGUAGACUAGACAUUUCUGAGAUUAAGGGCGUUAACUUCACCUGCAUCAUCAAGAGCAGCCUGGGGACAGUGACUACACAUUAUCAAAUACCAGAAGGUAUUGCUCAAUGCCAAGAACGCAUGGCAUUUUAAAAAUUUUCAUGACGUGACA
rnacentral:lncRNA from 1 species